GACGAACGCUGGCGGCGUGCUUAACACAUGCAAGUCGAACGGUAAGGCCCUUCGGGGUACACGAGUGGCGAACGGGUGAGUAACACGUGGGUGAUCUGCCCUGCACUUCGGGAUAAGCCUGGGAAACUGGGUCUAAUACCGGAUAGGACCACUGCCUGCAUGGGUGGUGGUGGAAAGCUUUUGCGGUGUGGGAUGGGGCCGCGGCCUAUCAGCUUGUUGGUGGGGUGAUGGCCUACCAAGGCGACGACGGGUAGCCGGCCUGAGAGGGUGACCGGCCACACUGGGAUUGAGAUACGGCCCAGACUCCUACGGGAGGCAGCAGUGGGGAAUAUUGCACAAUGGGCGCAAGCCUGAUGCAGCGGCGCCGCGUGAGGGAUGACGGCCUUCGGGUUGUAAACCUCUUUCAGCACCGACGAAGCGCAAGUGACGGUAGGUGCAGAAGAAGGACCGGCCAACUACGUGCCAGCCGCCGCCGUAA
rnacentral:rRNA from 1 species